AACGAACGCUGGCGGCAGGCCUAACACAUGCAAGUCGAGCGCCCCGCAAGGGGAGCGGCGGACGGGUGAGUAACGCGUGGGAAUAUGCCCUUUGCUACGGAAUAGUCUCGGGAAACUGGGGGUAAUACCGUAUACGCCCUUUGGGGGAAAGAUUUAUCGGCGAAGGAUUAGCCCGCGUUGGAUUAGGUAGUUGGUGGGGUAAUGGCCUACCAAGCCGACGAUCCAUAGCUGGUUUGAGAGGAUGAUCAGCCACACUGGGACUGAGACACGGCCCAGACUCCUACGGGAGGCAGGCGGGGGGAAUCCUAGGCCAUGGGGGCAACCCUGAUCCUGCCAUGCCGCGGGAAGGAAGGAGGCCUUAGGGUUGGUAAGCCUCUUUAGCUUGGAAGAUAAUGACGGUACCAGCAGAAGAAGCCCCGGCUAACUCCGUG
rnacentral:rRNA from 1 species